rnacentral:rRNA from 1 species
CGAUGCCUAAGACAUGCAAGUCGAACGAAGUAGCCUAAUGAAGAUUGAGUGCUUGCACAAUUCUGAUUAGAUUCCUACUAGUGGCAGACGGGUGAGUAACACGUGGGUAACCUACCUCGGAGACUGGGAUAACAGUUAGAAAUGACUGCUAAUACCGGAUGAUUCAUAGUUAGAUAACUAAUUAUGCUAAAAGGAGCAUUUGCUUCACUUUGAGAUGGGCUUGCGUUGUAUUAGUUAGUUGGUGGGGUAAUGGCCUACCAAGACAACGAUGCAUAUCCGAGCUGAGAGGCUGAUCGGACACACUGGGACUGAGACACGGCCCAGACUCCUACGGGAGACAGCAGUUAGGAAUAUUCGUCAAUGGGGGAAACCCUGAACGAGCAAUGCCGCGUGAAGUGAUUAAGGUCUUAUAGAUUGUAAAACUCUGUUGUAAAGAAAGAAACCUUAAGAUAGGAAAUGAUCUUAAGCUGACGGUACUUUACCAGAAAGCCCCGGCUAACUACGUGCCAGCAGCCGC